GAUGAACGCUGGCGGCGUGCUUAACACAUGCAAGUCGAACGGGAAACCUUUUAUUGAAGCUUCGGCAGAUUUAGCUGGUUUCUAGUGGCGGACGGGAGAGUAACGCGUGGGUAACCUGCCUUAUACAGGGGGAUAACAGUCAGAAAUGGCUGCUAAUACCGCAUAAGCGCACAGAGCUGCAUGGCUCAGUGUGAAAAACUCCGGUGGUAUAAGAUGGACCCGCGUUGGAUUAGCUGGUUGGUGGGGUAACGGCCCACCAAGGCGACGAUCCAUAGCCGGCCUGAGAGGGUGGACGGCCACAUUGGGACUGAGACACGGCCCAGACUCCUACGGGAGGCAGCAGUGGGGAAUAUUGCACAAUGGGGGAAACCCUGAUGCAGCGACGCCGCGUGAAGGAAGAAGUAUCUCGGUAUGUAAACUUCUAUCAGCAGGGAAGAUAAUGACGGUACCUGAAGAAGAAGCCCCGGCUAACUACGUG
rnacentral:rRNA from 1 species